ACGUAGCCAACGUCGAUGGCGAUGCAUGCCCAAAAGAGUCUGCACUUGGCAGCUAACGUAACACUUGUUCACAUUGCACUAGCUGGAAUAUCCUAGACUUGGAUUCCUCCUUCCUAACGCAAGCUAGAUUGUGAUGCGGGUAAAAAGCCGUAGAGGCACGGUUGUUCAUUAUGUUGCAACCAGCAUUAUCUCCAAUUAAAUUCAAAGUCGUGCCAACGGAAGGAGUAGUACCAACUUAUAGUAGUUGCAUUGCAAAGCUCUUUUUCUUUUCUUUUCUUUUCUUUUCAGGCUUGCGUCAGCUCAUUCCCUGCACAUCCAUCCAUCGACGCAAAGAACAUUAUGGUAUUUGAGACGCUCACCCCAGGAUCCCCACUUCCCAAAAGGGAACGAGCGGGUGCGCUUAGCAUCAUGGCAUUCGAAACAAACGGUCCACCAGGCCAGGCGUCCUUGGUGCUUAUCCACUCCAAGAUCUUCCGAACGAGGACCCCUCUCUCUGAUUGGAGAGAACAUGGCCGGCCGCACCGACCCAGCA
rnacentral:lncRNA from 1 species